rnacentral:miRNA from 1 species
GAGGUGGGAGGAUUGCUUGAGCCCGGGAGGUCGAGGCUGCAGUGAGCAGUGAUCAUGCCACUGCACUCCAGCCUGCGUGACAGAACAAGACCCUGUCUC